UUUACCUGAUUUCCUUCGGGGAUGAUUGUUCUGUGACUGAGUGGCGGACGGGUGAGUAACGCGUGGAUAACCUGCCCCACACAGGGGGAUAACAGUUGGAAACGACUGCUAAUACCGCAUAAGCGCACAGCACCGCAUGGUGCAGUGUGAAAAACUCCGGCGGUGUGAGAUGGAUCCGCGUCUGAUUAGCUUGUUGGCGGGGUAACGGCCCACCAAGGCGACGAUCAGUAGCCGGCCUGAGAGGGCGACCGGCCACAUUGGGACUGAGACACGGCCCAGACUCCUACGGGAGGCAGCAGUGGGGAAUAUUGCACAAUGGGGGAAACCCUGAUGCAGCGACGCCGCGUGAGCGAUGAAGUAUUUCGGUAUGUAAAACUCUAUCAGCAGGGAAGAUAAUGACGGUACCUGACUAAGAAGCUCCGGCUAAAUACGUGCCAGCAGCCGCGGUAAUACGUAUGGAGCAAGCGUUAUCCGGAUUUACUGGGUGUAAAG
rnacentral:rRNA from 1 species